UACGAAGGGGGCUAGCGUUGCUCGGAAUCACUGGGCGUAAAGGCGCGUAGGCGGCCAAGUAAGUUGGGGGUGAAAGCCCGUGGCUCAACCACGGAAUUGCCUUCGAUACUGCUUGGCUUGAGACCGGAAGAGGUGAGUGGAACUGCGAGUGUAGAGGUGAAAUUCGUAGAUAUUCGCAAGAACACCAGUGGCGAAGGCGGCUCACUGGCCCAUAACUGACGCUGAGGCACGAAAGCCAGGGGAGCGAACGGG
rnacentral:rRNA from 1 species